UACGUAGGGUGCAAGCGUUAAUCGGAAUUACUGGGCGUAAAGCGUGCGCAGGCGGCUUUGCAAGACAGAUGUGAAAUCCCCGGGCUUAACCUGGGAACUGCAUUUGUGACUGCAUGGCUGGAGUGCGGCAGAGGGGGAUGGAAUUCCGCGUGUAGCAGUGAAAUGCGUAGAUAUGCGGAGGAACACCGAUGGCGAAGGCAAUCCCCUGGGCCUGCACUGACGCUGAUGCGCGAAAGCCAGGGGAGCGAACGGG
rnacentral:rRNA from 1 species